GAUGAAGAACGUAGCGAAAUGCGAUAAGUAAUGUGAAUUGCAGAAUUCAGUGAAUCAUCGAAUCUUUGAACGCACAUUGCGCCCGCUAGUAUUCUGGCGGGCAUGCCUGUUCGAGCGUCAUUUCAACCAUCAAGCCCCAGGCUUGUGUUGGGGGCCUGCGGCUGCCGCAGCCCCUGAAAAGCAGUGGCGGGCUCGCUGUCAUUCCGAGCGCAGUAGUUACAUCUCGCUCCGGGCGUGGCGGUGGGCACCUGCCGUGAAACACUCCUUCUAAGGUUGACCUCGGAUCAGGUAGGAAUACCCGCUGAACCUAAGCAUAUCAAUAAGCGGAGGA
rnacentral:misc_RNA from 1 species